AAUUAAAACCUAGCUAGCCUCUCGACCCUCUCUCUCGACAUAAAGCAUCUCGACCUCUCUCAUUUUUUGAACCCUCUCGACCCUCUCUCUCUCAGUCCUCUCUCAAUUAGAUUUGGAUUGCUGUCCUUCACCGUCCUCCUCCGCCUAGGUUUGUCUGCAGUGCCCCUAAUACACUUUCUCUCUCCUCCAUCUCUCUCUGAAAAAUUAGGAUUAGAGUUUUUUGCUGAAUCCCCAAAUUGUGCUGAAGAGAUUGGCGGUGGUUCGGGUUCGGCGAACUAAAGACCAUCUCGCUUUAAUUUGCCAUCAACAUGUCAUCAGUCCCUUCAAUUUCAAGUCCUUCACCUCCAUCAGUCCAUCGUUUCCUUGUCUCUUUCACCGGUUAUUCUCUUAGCUGGGCCGAUUGAGGUUCGGACUCUCGAGAAAGCUCUCAGGUUUGCAUUUCACCAAAGUUCUUCAGCGAUGGAGGACAUUGAAUGCCCCAGAUCCACUUUCUCUCUCCACCUCGCCUUCAAACUAGGGUCAAUUGAAGAGAUGCAGAAGACGAAGGUGUCCGAGAGCGGAGGCCAACAUGCUGUUCUGCGCUGACGAGGCAGCGCUGUGCUUCGAUGUCCUUAACCUCUUCAUGGUGACAGUAAGAGAUGCUCUAAACUCUGCCUUCGAUGAGAAAAUGUAUGCCGAUCUGAAAGUGUUUUUGAUGGGUGAAGAGGUUGGGCAGUAUCAAUGUGCUUACAAGAUAACUGAGGACUUUUGGAUAAGUAUGGCCUUGAGAGGGUUCUCGAUACCUCAAUCACAGAGAACAGGGGUCCUUUGGCAUUUCAAUGGUCAUGUUUUUGCAUAUGUUGUGAAGGGAAUUAUGGGAAUGUAGGUGAAGCAUGAAUGCACACAAUUCAAAGAAUUUUGUCUAGCAGGAAAUGCUGAAGGAUGCUUCAGGGCUUUCCAGAGAGCGAAACAUGAGCAUCAGGCAUUAAAGAGGCAGUUUGAAACUCAUUUCUAGUUGAGAAGACAAGCUGGAAUGGCACAAAGGUCUUGAAUGCCACAUAGAUUGGUGAUUGCAUGAGGUGCCCAUAUAAUAGGGAGAAACUAGUUGAGAACCAUGUAUUUUGUCAAUCUCGUGAACUCCUAGCUACGUAAUAUAUGUUUUACACUUCAGUCUUUGUUGGUUUCAUUGCUGACCAUAGUUAUUGCUUCAUAUAUGGUUCUCUUUGUGUUCUCAUUUCUCCCUAUUAUAUGGGCACCAUAGUUCUUGCUUUAUAUGCUAGGAGUUGUUAUCCAGCUAAAGAUCUCUGUAGGCACACUGGUACUCAUCUAUUCAAAGUGUUAAGAUUCCUUCCAGAGUAUGGGGGUGUAAUACCAAAUGGAUUAGAAGGGGGCACAUUUCAGAUGCCAGAAAUGGAUGGAUUUGAGGCAACAAGGGAGAUAAGGAAAGUGGAGAAAACUCACCAUGUCCACAUUCCGAUCAUUGCAUUAACAGCUCAUACACCAGGUGAGGAAACAAGAAGGAUGUUGGAGGCCGGCAUGGAUGACUAUUUGAGCAAACCCUUGGAAAAGGGUCGUCUACUUGAAACAAUGGGUAGACUGGUAGGGAAGCAGUAGAAUUGUUGGAAGCUGCAGUCAUGGUUGUCAGAGAACAAAGGAAGAGAAAAAAACAAACAGGGCUUUUCAUGGAAUCUGACAUCUUGUCUCCGACAGUUGAACUAGAGCCAACAUAGCAAGCGGUUGAGGCUGUGAAGUGUAAAAGUGAGCGGCUCAAGUCCAGUAGGCUCAAAGAGAUCAUUUUGAAAAAGAUGUUGGAACUGGAGGACAAGCUGUUGGAUGCUCCACCCGACACACUAGGUGUUGUUGCCUUAGCACUACACUAUGCAAGUAUGACAGAACUUUAGUGCCAAAUAUUUUCCUAUCGCGACGAUUUGAUUGUAUCAGCUUUUGCUAUCUUUCAAUGUAAUUAGCUAGAAUGCAGCAGCCAUCAAGCUAAGCUAGAAUGCCUUCUUUUUUUGUUUUAUGGUAUGGAUACGUGAAUGUAUAGAUGAUUGACAAAUGCUAGCUCUUUCGGUACAUUAGAUGGUACAAAUGCUAGCUCUUAUAUUGAGCAUUAUUUUUGUGCAAAUAUUUCAGGCAAAGAAUCGAUAAUAAGCAAACAAUAGUGAAUUACAUUA